UGGGGGCUCAAUCCCACAACCCUGAGAUCAUGACUGGAGCCUUGAUCCCAUGACCCUGAGAUGAUGACCUGAACUGCAAUCAAGACUUGGAGGCUUAACCAACUGAGCCACCCAGGCACCCCCAGCUGAUGUGUUUUUUAAGUCUCUUAAUCUACAUGUUUCCUCCCCAACACUUCUCCCCCCACCUGCCAGCCACUCUAUUCCUGCAACUUAUGUUUUUGAGAAAUAGGGUCAUUCAUUCUAUAAGAUUUCCUCGGAGUCCAGAUUUCACUGAUUGCAUCCCCAGAGGUGUGUUCUGAUGUGUUCCUCCGUAUUUUCUCUAAGUCAUGAAUGAGAAGAGUCUUGAAUGUGGGAAGAUGGAGGAUGGCAUUCAAGAAGAGAAGGAGAAGAUAGUGAUGGCUGUGCUGGGGGCGAGAAUGGAGGAGGGAAUACAGAGGCUUCUCAGCCGCGGGAGCACCCCGGGCCUGGUGCCGGACCAGCAGGAGGGAGUGAGAACGGGCAGGAUUCUGCUUUCCAGGAGCCUACAGUCUAGUGCAGGGCAGCUUCGAGACAGAUCAACCCACAAAGGAUUGUAAAACUCCCACCAGGAAGAGCACCGGAAAGAGGGGGCCUUUCAGGGGCCCUGGAAUCCUUCUCUGGGGAAGCGACAGCAAGCCGAGGUGAAGGGUGAGCAUGUCUGCGGCCCGUGAAUCAGCCCCCAGGCCGACCCCGCGGAGGUUGGCACAUCUUGACCUGCCUCUUCCAGGCAGAUGGAGAAGAGGGAAUCUGCUGAUGUGCGCUCAGGGCAUAAACAAUCCAUAUCCCGCCCCGGGCCUCUGCGUGCUGGGAGUGUUAACGCCUGCCACAGGGCGUCCCAUGGAGAACAGCGCUGAUCCAGAGCCCAGAGAGAACGGGAACCACGGAAUCCAGCUGUUAGACGCUGGAUUCUGCCUCCUCUCCAGGAUGACACAGCAGGUUCUGUGGCCACAUACCCCCGCACCCCCCUCCAUUGUCUGCAGCCCAGUCAAGGCCUCAGGGGCUGCACAGGAGGCAGCGAGGUGUCAUAUAAGAUCUGGGAUGGAAAGAGGUGAUUUUGCCACCUGCUAUGGGACGGUAGGCCAGGGCAGCCUCCCAGUCACAGCUUCCCACUUGAAGGGGGAUCAAGACCUCUGCCCUGCCGGAUCUGUGGGAUUCUUUUGAGGAUCAUAUCAGAUCACUGCUGCGAUGGUUCCUUCUGAACUCCGUACGGGACUGCAGAAUGAUGAUGACGAUGACAGCAAUGCCAUAAAAUUGGAACUGUACAGUGUGUAGCCUUUUCAGAUUGGUUUCUAUCACUUAGCACUCAAGGUUCCUCCAUGUCUUUUCUUUUUUUGAAGAUUUUAUUUAUU